GAUGAACGCUAGCUACAGGCUUAACACAUGCAAGUCGAGGGGUAACGAGAGGAAAGCUUGCUUUCCUUGCCGACGACCGGCGCACGGGUGAGUAACGCGUAUCCAACCUGCCCCCAACUAGGGAAUAACCUUGCGAAAGUAAGACUAAUACCCUAUAAUUUCCUCAGAUGACAUCUGACGAGGAAUAAAGAUUUAUCGGUUGUGGAUGGGGAUGCGUCUGAUUAGCUUGUUGGCGGGGUAACGGCCCACCAAGGCAACGAUCAGUAGGGGUUCUGAGAGGAAGGUCCCCCACAUUGGAACUGAGACACGGUCCAAAUUCCUACGGGAGGCAGCAGCGAGGAAUAUUGGUCAAUGGGCGGAAGCCUGAACCAGCCAAGUAGCGUGCAGGAUGACGGCCCUAUGGGUUGUAAACUGCUUUUAUACAGGAAUAAAGUUAGCCACGUGUGGUUAUUUGUAGGUACUGUAUGAAUAAGGACCGGCUAAUUCCGUGCCAGCCGCCGCUGUAA
rnacentral:rRNA from 1 species